rnacentral:tRNA from 1 species
GCGGGAAUAGCUCAGUUGGUAGAGCACGACCUUGCCAAGGUCGAGGUCUCGAGUUCGAGUUCGAGUCUCGUUUCCCGCUCCA